GUCUCCGUCUAAUGAGGCCGAAAAUCCGCCAUGUUUAGCGCGCCAAAUGUCAUUGUCACGUCAGUUCGGCCGUCUGUUUUGGGUUGUACAUUAUUUAUUGACUUUGAUGUCGAUUUAAUAUGAUUGAUUAUAUAAAAUUUCAUAAUUUAUCAUGCUUAAAACAUACAAAAAUAAUAAUUAAAACGUAUUUUAUAGGAUCUCAAGAAAGUCGAUGCCCGCCAUGUUUUGUGGCCAGAUGACGUCACAGUGGCACGAAAUUUUGGCUGACGUUUCAUUUCCAUAGGUUUCCUACUUCAUUGUUUCAAAACACCUCAGUGACAGUAGGAAAUCGGCUGCGAAUAAUAUCUGCGAAUGCGAAUAAUGUCUACGAACUCUCCGAUAUACUAUACUAAUACAAUAUUAAACAAAACAAUAUUAAAAGUUAAAGGACGAAAUUGUUGAUGAUAUUGCUGACAAUCAUAGCGGAGAGAGUUUUUAAUCAAUGCUGCAUUUGAAAAGGACAGCUGAACACACAGUUUUUUGUUUUAUCACUCUCGCCUUAGAAACUUCGCAUAAAAAUAAGCCACGAACCAGUUAACGAAUGAUGUCACUAGCAACUUCAUACUAUACUGAAUACCUUAGAGCUCAUAUCUCAAGGUGAGUGGCAGCGUUUACCUUGUACAUGUCUACAGGCUCCCGUAACCACUUAGCAUCAGGUGGGCCGUGACCUCGUUCACCCAUCAAAUGCAAUUAAAUAAACAAUAGUCUUGUUUAAUUGAGUUUCCUCAAUUAUUUAGAAAACCUCUAUCAAUAUGUAGUGCUUGGAAUACUUUGGACUAGGUUGAAUUAAUUUAUUGAUUGGAGAUUAAAAGCAUGCGUGCAAAAAUGGAACAGAGCUUAUAAUAAACUACUAAAAAAGUAGAA